rnacentral:rRNA from 1 species
CAGCAGCCGCGGGAAUACGUAGGGUGCAAGCGUUAAUCGGAAUUACUGGGCGUAAAGCGUGCGCAGGCGGUGUUGUAAGACUGAUGUGAAAUCCCCGGGCUCAACCUGGGAAUGGCAGUGGAUACUGGCAAGCUAGAGUGUGUCAGAGGAUGGUGGAAUUCCCGGUGUAGCGGUGAAAUGCGUAGAGAUCGGGAGGAACAUCAGUGGCGAAGGCGGCCAUCUGGGACAACACUGACGCUGAGGCACGAAAGCGUGGGGAGCAAACAGGAUUAGAUACCCCCGUAGUCCCUGUCUCUUAUAU